UUUCAUUCCUUACUGGAAUAAGUAACAACUCAGUCAUCUCAUCUUGUCCGUAUUACUCUGUUAAUUAAUAACCAGCACUGUUCUUUUUUGGUAUGACACUGCUCCCUCAAGCGUUCCUUGUGCUUUAGGUUUAUAUUUGCUCAUAGCACAAAUGCAGACAGACAGACAUCUUAAGCUCUUCUGCUGAGAUCCCCAGUGACUAAAAAGCAUUUGCACUGCUGUUCUUCUGGGCGUUGCAGAAGGUGUGAGCCUUGGUCCUUUCCAGUAAAUAAGUUUGCAGCUUUGAUGGUGUUGCUGUGUUUCUAAUUAGUUUUCAGCAUGAGAAGGAUGGUGGUAGCAGGAGGAUGGUUCCUUGUCAGCCGCUGAAACAAGGGCUGUCCUUUUCUGUCAGGACAGCGAUCUCAUGCCAGCAGUGAGGCCAGAUAGUAAACUUGUAUUUACAAACCCUUGUUCUUCAGAAAUCUACAAGAGCUUAAAGGUGAUCAGAACAGAUGGGUGACACCUCUGAAUUUAGGAGGAUGUCCCACUCCCUUAGCUCACCAAAUACAUUUGGUUCAAGUGGAGCAGUGCUGAACCUCAGUCACUCCUGAGGAAAAUCACUGCAAGACAGGGAGGCUGCUCCUCCCCAACAGCCGCACCAUUUAAUGGGGCUUUGGUCAGCCUCCAGCUUCCCAUCGCAGCACAAGAGCAGCACUGUCCCGCAGAGCGGAAGGUAACAGUCAGAGCUUCAGCAACAUGGGAGGCAUUGCAGAAAGCGCGUGAGUCACUGCUUGUGCUCAGGAGCUCCUGGGGAGCUGAGGCAGUGAGGAUGGGGCAGGCACUUGGGGCCAGUAAACUGACUGUUGCCUUAAGAAGAGUGCUUCUUGAAGGGAAAAAUCCUUUCAUUGCGUUUCUUCUUGGAUUUUUUGCUUGUUUUGUUUUUGGAAAGUGAGACCAGUCUACCCCUGUUGUAUCUGCACUGGUAUAGGUGGAUCUACAGCAAAAGCACAUUUUGCUCUACCUUGCAGUGAGUUGCUAAUGGCAGCCUGGAUGUGCUGCAGGUUGCCUCUGCCAUAGCCCAAUCCGCCAGGUAUUUUUUUCCAAGCGCAUGCUCCACUGAGGCUGGAAUCACAUUUGCUUCUACAGGUAACAGCACUCAUUUAAAUUUGAUUUAAUCAGGUGACAGUUUUUGCAUCCGCUGUAGGAUUCAUUAAAUUAACACCAUUAACAGAUUUGCAUUUGGGGGACCUGUCUUCGAGAAAACUAUUUUAGUUGACAGGAGCCAGAAAUGCGAUCUUCACCAUCACCUUGGUGCUGGGAUUUCUCAGGGGCUUAGCCAGGCCCUGGCGCCGCGGCCUGGGGGUGAAGGGCGGCUGCGCCACGGCUCGGCGGCGGGAGCGGCGCGGCCGCCAGGGGGCGCCAUUGUGCCUCUGCCAGGGCUGCGCGGCGCGCUGCUGGGCGUCCGCCGGGGGAAGGUGCUUUCAGUAGCGGUGAAUUUGCAGGCUGAACUCAUUCCCGGCUGGCCUGGGCAGCCGAGAGACCGCAGAAGCUGACUCUGAGGAGCAGGGGAUAGAGCUCAGGCAUGCUGGAGCUGAAACCUCCUCAAGUCCCCGUUUCAGGGCUUGUAGCUGGUAGAAGCUCUGCCUGAAAGGAGCCUUGCUCUUACCGUGGCCUCUUACCAUGGCUGCUUGGAGGCUGUGCAUCCCUCCCUGGUUAUACAUAUGAUGCAGCUGCACAAAGAGAAGGAAGUUUGGAUCAUCAGCUCGUUUCCAGCCACACUGAGGAAGCCUUGUAGCAGAGGAUUUCUUGGAAGAUGUUUUUUUAAUUAUAGUUGUCUACAUUGUCUUUCUUUACCUGUUGGUUGUGUUGAUUUACUCACCUUGUGCCUCUCUGAGAAAAAACCCUGAAUGUUUUUUUAUCAGGGAGCUCCUAGUCCUGAGGGCAGCGAUCUGCCUGCUCCAUGGUGAGCUGUGAUGACUCUUGCCUGCGGGAUGUUGAUCAUCUUUAAUUGCUGCUGCGUCAGCAGUCACAUCAGGCUGCCUCAGAUGCCAGUAUGAGACUUUAUUGACAGAAGGCGCAGUUUUGUAAUCCCUGCAAAUCCCCCCUUCACCUGAGCCCUUUGCGCUCACAGUCUGGAUUUACCAACCAUCUGUGAAGAGCUUUCAGAGGAUAAAAGCAGCAUUAAUGUUUUGACCCCAGUGACGGCAUCACUUGCCUGUGAUCCCUAAGAGCCCAGUUCAGCAGGAGCUCAGAGCUUAGUCUGUCUUCUGUGUUUGCUGAUACUCAGCGUUGCAGAUUGCCAAGGGACUCGCUGGUAUGAGAUUAUCCAUUAGAGGAAAACUAGAGAGAAGAUUGUUCUGGAAUACAGACUGCUUCUAAAUGCUCCUGAGUGGUGUUGAAAUGGGGGGACCAGCCUCAAUGAUGUGCCUAAGAACUUGCUACAUAGAGGACUGUAAACCAUUCCAUUUCACGGGAAAUCCGCCUGACCUGGGACCAUCCCAUCUCUCCAGGAACUGCGCUUACUCUCAUAAGAUAACAAAGCAAAAGCGGUCUAACAGUAUUAGCACGUGUAUCUUGCCCAUCAUCCCAGAGUAUCCAGGCUUCCAAGACAUUAAGUUGUCAAGAAAUUAUCCAGAAACUCGAGGCUUCAACCGGCUUUUCCAGGAUUUGGAAAGACGAAAGAGCUCUUCCUCACAGCUGAACAGUUUUCCAAACACAGCUUCAUUAGCCCAUUGCUUGGGGUGCUCCUCAAGAGGCUACCCGAAAGGCCAACCGGAACACUGCACUGGCUUCCAUGACAAACCCUUGCAAGAAUAUUUCAAUGAGAGGCUGAUGGAGCUCAGGAACUACGAAAGUAAGAGAUCCAAUAGGAAGACCAAGGGAUUUCCUGACAAAAACCAGAACCCCUUCCUCGCCCGCAGAGGAUCUCGGCGCAGAAGCAGUUGCGGUGCUGUGGUAAUGGUUGGGUAUAACAAGGAGACAGAAGAAUCCUGCAGCUCAGCAAAUCAAGAAAACAAAAAAGCAAUAGAACACAAUGGUCAAAAGGAAACCCAGAAUGUCGUGGACCUCUACAAGGGUGGCUUUUUGGACAUUUUGACAACGCACAUUGCUGCUCCUCUAGAAGCAUUUGUGCAAAAAAAGUAAUGCUGGAGCUGGUUACAGGUAGUCCUGCAGUCCUCCAAGUGAAGAGUCGUUCCUGUUCAGUACAGUUGUGACUUAAGUAGUUCAUGUGUGUUAGUUCAUUCUGAUGCAGAAAUAUGUUUAUGGGACGGUGUUCUUCAUUCACAUGGCAUAUCUUUGUUUUCAAUUAUUUUCCUCAAAGAAUCAGUAAAAAUGAGGGAUAGUCUUGAAUUACUGUACACAGAGAGCACUAUUCUAAAUGCACACAUUACUUAAAUUCUUAAGCUGCCUUAAAAAAAAGUGAUUAGUUUCAGUGGAGCAGUGUGGUUUCCUAUUGGUAGCGUGCAGUUUCCAUUAGCUAAUCUGAAGAAACAAUAUUAUGUUCUGCCAAGUUGCUUUGCUUGUUUUAAGUCUUCUUGAUGUUUUUUUAACAUAUCACUUUGACCCGUUUAAUCUAUGCUAUGUUUUGCAUGGAUGCAAACGACUUGAUAAGAAAUGAUUGAUUUGGUCUUGUUGCCACACGUUAUAAUCACCAGGAAGAUCCUUGUGUGUCUGAUACUUGAAGAACACCGAUGUAAGCUUCAUUUUUAAAUCUGAUCAGCCACUGUGGUUUCUUCUGCAUACUCAGAAACCUUCGACUUAAAAAGCACUGCAAGGGCAAAGAAGAAGGAAUGUCACGUGUAUGUGAGAAUUAGGGAAGUAAGUAUGUAGGUAGGAUCUGUCCCGCUUUCCUGUUGUAAAUAUGAGGUCAAUAUAGGAAAUUCUUACUGCAAUCUGAGCUUCAAAUUGUUUAUUGCAUUUUUGUGUUUAUAGUGGUCAUCUAAGUAUAAAAUGUCAGCUGCAGCCAGAUUUUUCUAUUACACAGAAUGUCAAUGUUUAAUUCUACAGAGCACUGAAUAUCAGGCCCAAAGCUGGGCAACUAUUUUAAGCUUCCAAAAAGCAUUAUUGCCUGUAGUAUUAUCAGCAAUAAAGUCAUCGUUACAGUGCUAGUUUGAGCUGAUGUUUCUCU